rnacentral:rRNA from 1 species
AUUGAACGCUGGCGGCAUGCCUUANACAUGCAAGUCGAACGGCAGCACGGGAGCAAUCCUGGUGGCGAGUGGCGAACGGGUGAGUAAUAUAUCGGAACGUGCCCAGUCGUGGGGGAUAACGUAGCGAAAGCUACGCUAAUACCGCAUACGAUCUAUGGAUGAAAGCGGGGGAUCGCAAGACCUCGCGCGAUUGGAGCGGCCGAUAUCAGAUUAGGUAGUUGGUGAGGUAAAGGCUCACCAAGCCGACGAUCUGUAGCUGGUCUGAGAGGACGACCAGCCACACUGGGACUGAGACACGGCCCAGACUCCUACGGGAGGCAGCAGUGGGGAAUUUUGGACAAUGGGCGCAAGCCUGAUCCAGCAAUGCCGCGUGCAGGAUGAAGGCCUUCGGGUUGUAAACUGCUUUUGUACGGAACGAAACGGUGAGCUCUAAUACAGUUUGCUAAUGACGGUACCGUAAGAAUAAGCACCGGCUAACUACGUG